rnacentral:rRNA from 1 species
AGUGAACGCUGGCGGUAGGCCUAACACAUGCAAGUCGAACGGCAGCACAGGAGAGCUUGCUCUCUGGGUGGCGAGUGGCGGACGGGUGAGGAAUACAUCGGAAUCUGCCCAGUCGUGGGGGAUAACGUAGGGAAACUUACGCUAAUACCGCAUACGACCUUCGGGUGAAAGAGGGGGAUCGCAAGACCUCUCGCGAUUGGAUGAGCCGAUGUCGGAUUAGCUAGUUGGCGGGGUAAUGGCCCACCAAGGCGACGAUCCGUAGCUGGUCUGAGAGGAUGAACAGCCACACUGGAACUGAGACACGGUCCAGACUCCUACGGGAGGCAGCAGUGGGGAAUAUUGGACAAUGGGCGCAAGCCUGAUCCAGCCAUACCGCGUGGGUGAAGAAGGCCUUCGGGUUGUAAAGCCCUUUUGUUGGGAAAGAAAUCUUUCAGGCUAAUACCCUGGGAGGAUGACGGUACCCAAAGAAUAAGCACCGGCUAACUUCGUG